rnacentral:rRNA from 1 species
UACAGGUGCCAGCCGCCGCGGUAAUACCUGAGCCACAAAUGGUGAUCACGUUUAUUGGGUCUAAAGCGUCCGUAGCCGGUCUAACAAGUUCCUGGUGAAAUCUGGCAGCAAACUGUCAGGCAUGCUGGGAAUACUACUACACUUGGAAUCGGGAGAGGUCGGGGGUAUUCCACGUGUAGGGGUUAAUCCUUUAAUCCGUGGA